AUUGAACGCUGGCGGAAUGCUUUACACAUGCAAGUCGAACGGCAGCACGGGGCAACCUGGUGGCGAGUGGCGAACGGGUGAGUAAUACAUCGGAACGUGCCCAAUCGUGGGGGAUAACGUAGCGAAAGUUACGCUAAUACCGCAUACGAUCUACGGAUGAAAGCGGGGGAUCGCAAGACCUCGCGCGAAUGGAGCGGCCGAUGUCAGAUUAGCUAGUUGGUGAGGUAAAGGCUCACCAAGGCGACGAUCUGUAGCGGGUCUGAGAGGAUGAUCCGCCACACUGGAACUGAGACACGGUCCAGACUCCUACGGGAGGCAGCAGUGGGGAAUUUUGGACAAUGGGGGCAACCCUGAUCCAGCCAUGCCGCGUGAGUGAAGAAGGCCU
rnacentral:rRNA from 1 species